UUUACGAUCCUGGACUCAACGGAUUAAACGGCUGGCGGCGCACAUAAGACAUGCAAGUCGAACGAACGUUAACCUCUUGCUUAGCAAGAGGAGCGGUUAGUGGCGGACUGGUGAGUAACACGUAAGAAAUCUGCCUAUCAGAGGGGAAUAACAGUGAGAAAUCAUUGCUAAUACCGCAUAUGCCAUAAUUAUCGCAUGAUAAUAGUGGGAAAGGAGCAAUCCGCUGAUAGAUGAGCUUGCGUCUGAUUAGCUAGUUGGUGGGGUAAAAGCCUACCAAGGCGACGAUCAGUAGCCGGACUGAGAGGUUGAACGGCCACAUUGGGACUGAGAGUACGGCCCAGACUCCUACGGGAGGCAGCAGUCGGGAAUAUUGCGCAAUGGAGGAAACUCUGACGCAGUGACGCCGCGUAUAGGAAGAAGGGUUUUCGGAUUGUAAACUAUUGUCCACAGGGAAGAAAAAAGACUGUACCUGUGAAGAAAGCUCCGGCUAACUACGUG
rnacentral:rRNA from 1 species